UACGUCCACAUCACGUUGAAACACCUGUCCCUGUACGAUCACCGAAGUUAAACAAUGUCGAGACUGGUAACUACAUAGAUGGAUGACCGCUUGGGAAUACAAGGUGAUGU